GCUGUCCCUAGUACGAGAGGACCGGGAUGGACGAACCUCUGGUGUGUCAGUUGUUCCGCCAGGAGCACCGCUGAUUAGCUACGUUCGGAAGUGAUAACCGCUGAAAGCAUCUAAGCGGGAAGCACGCUUCAAGAUGAGGUUUCCAUGCCCCUUAGGGGUGAGAGGCUCCCAGCUAGACUACUGGGUUGAUAGGCCGGAUGUGGAAGCACAGUAAUGUGUGGAGCUGA
rnacentral:rRNA from 1 species